rnacentral:rRNA from 1 species
GAUUAACGCUAGCGGCAGGCCUAAUACAUGCAAGUUGUACGGGAUUAUUGGUAGCAAUACUGAUAUGAGAGUAGCGCACGGGUGCGUAACACGUAUGCAACCUACCUUUAACUGGGGAAUAGCCUUCCGAAAGGAAGAUUAAUACCGCAUAACAUUGCGAAACGACAUCGUUUUGCAAUUAAACCUACGGGGGUUAGAGAUGGGCAUGCGUCCGACUAGCUAGUUGGCGGGGUAAAGCCCACCAAGGCAACGAUCGGUAGGGGUCUGAGAGGAUGAUCCCCACACUGGUACUGAGACACGGACCAGACUCCUACGGGAGGCAGCAGUAAGGAAUAUUGGACAAUGGGGGCAACCCUGAUCCAGCCAUGCCGCGUAGAA